AACGAACGCUGGCGGCAUGCCUAACACAUGCAAGUCGAACGAGACCUUCGGGUCUAGUGGCGCACGGGUGCGUAACGCGUGGGAACCUGCCCUUAGGUUCGGAAUACCUCCCCGACAGGGGUGCUAAUACCGGAUAAUGUCUUCGGACCAAAGAUUUAUCGCCUUUGGAUGGGCACGCGUUGGAUUAGCUAGUUGGUAGGGUAAAAGCCUACCACGGCGACGAUCCAUAGCUGGUCUGAGAGGAUGAUCAGCCACACUGGGACUGAGACACGGCCCAGACUCCUACGGGAGGCAGCAGUGGGGAAUAUUGGACAAUGGGCGAAAGCCUGAUCCAGCAAGGCCGCGUGAGUGAUGAAGGCCUUAGAGUUGUAAAGCUCUUUUACCCGGGAUGAUAAUGACAGUACCGGGAGAAUAAGCUCCGGCUAACUCCGUG
rnacentral:rRNA from 1 species